AUUGAACGCUGGCGGAAUGCUUUACACAUGCAAGUCGAACGGUAGCACGGGUGCUUGCACCUGGUGGCGAGUGGCGAACGGGUGAGUAAUACAUCGGAACGUACCCAGUCGUGGGGGAUAACGUAGCGAAAGUUACGCUAAUACCGCAUACGUCCAGAGGGAGAAAGCGGGGGACCGUCAGGCCUCGCGCGAAUGGAGCGGCCGCUGGCGGAUUAGCUAGUUGGUGGGGUAAAGGCCUACCAAGGCGACGAUCCGUAGCGGGUUUGAGAGGACGGCCCGCCACACUGGAACUGAGACACGGUCCAGACUCCUACGGGAGGCAGCAGUGGGGAAUUUUGGACAAUGGGCGAAAGCCUGAUCCAGCCAUUCCGCGUGAGUGAAGAAGGCCUUCGGGUUGUAAAGCUCUUUCGGCAGGGAAGAAACGGCUUGGGAUAAUACCCCGGGCUAAUGACGGUACCUGAAGAAGAAGCACCGGCUAACUACGUGCCAGCCGCCGCCGUAA
rnacentral:rRNA from 1 species